rnacentral:rRNA from 1 species
UGCAUGGCCGUCGUCAGUUCGUACUGUGAAGCAUCCUGUUAAGUCAGGCAACGAGCGAGACCCACGCCAACAGUUGCCAGCAUGUCCUCCGGGAUGAUGGGGACACUGUUGGACCGCUCUGCUAAAGAGGAGGAAGGAAUGGGCAACGGUAGGUCAGCAUGCCCCGAAUUAUCCGGGCUACACGCGGGCUACAAUGGUCAGGACAAUGGGUAUCGACACCGAGAGGUGGAGGCAAUCUCCUAAACCUGUCCUUAGUUCGGAUUGUGGGCUGCAACUCGCCCACAUGAAGCUGGAAUCCGUAGUAAUCGCGUUUCAAAAUAGUGCGGUGAAUAUGUCCCUGCUCCUU